rnacentral:lncRNA from 1 species
ACCUGUGUAUACUAAGCUACAGUAUUGUUAUUCAAAAUAGAAAGUUUGCUUCAUUGCAUGUUUUCAUUGCGACAUCGCCAUCACGAGAAGCAGACGACUCGGUGUGCGAGUGACACUUGCAUGCGAGUGACAGCCAUGCAUGAUGUCAGUCGCUGUUUUUUGUCGCUUACGUGCUUCUAGACAGCAAUAAAUGUACUAAAAAUACGAGCCAGCGUUGCUUCGUGGCGCGUCAACGACCAGCUCAACAGAAAGUUUUUAACGGUGGAAAUCAGUGACGUUUACCACAGCAUCCGUGCGUGUACUAUUUUUAUUUGCUCAAGUUCCCGGCAGCGCCGCAAUAAUGCCAUGAAUGCGCCGGCGCUCACAGUGACACUUCAAACCCUGCAAGUCCGCAAGAGCCACAGCAGAGGAGAAACCAUAGUGGUGGUGCGGGAAGUGGCAGGUGCCCUUGCAGAGGUUGAAAAACAAGUGGCAUCGACUUCUUGGCCAAAACCACUCUACUGAGCAGUUAUGUGUGGAUUCAAUGGGCAGACAAACAAGAAGUUACAAUCUGGAAGAGCAGUUUCUGCGUAGCACCCACCGACAUAAGAGUGCCGAUGUUGUCCCGAACAAAGCUGGUAAAGAG